GAUCUCCGUGGGUUGUGGCUGAUUUGAAGUUAGUCUAAGGGUGUUCGAUUCAUCCAGAGAUUU
rnacentral:tRNA from 1 species